UGGCGGCAUGCCUUACACAUGCAAGUCGAACGGCAGCACGGGAGCAAUCCUGGUGGCGAGUGGCGAACGGGUGAGUAAUAUAUCGGAACGUGCCCAGUCGUGGGGGAUAACGCAGCGAAAGCUGUGCUAAUACCGCAUACGAUCUACGGAUGAAAGCGGGGGAUCGCAAGACCUCGCGCGAUUGGAGCGGCCGAUAUCAGAUUAGCUAGUUGGUGGGGUAAAAGCCCACCAAGGCGACGAUCUGUAGCUGGUCUGAGAGGACGACCAGCCACACUGGAACUGAGACACGGUCCAGACUCCUACGGGAGGCAGCAGUGGGGAAUUUUGGACAAUGGGCGCAAGCCUGAUCCAGCAAUGCCGCGUGCAGGAUGAAGGCCUUCGGGUUGUAAACUGCUUUUGUACGGAACGAAACGGUCUGCUUUAAUACAGUGGGCUAAUGACGGUACCGUAAGAAUAAGCACCGGCUAACUACGUGCCAGCAGCCGCGGUAAUACGUAGGGUGCGAGCGUUAAUCGGAAUUACUGGGCGUAAAGCGUGCGCAGGCGGUUAUAUAAGACAGAUGUGAAAUCCCCGGGCUCAACCUGGGACCUGCAUUUGUGACUGUAUAGCUAGAGUACGGUAGAGGGGGAUGGAAUUCCGCGUGUAGCAGUGAAAUGCGUAGAUAUGCGGAGGAACACCGAUGGCGAAGGCAAUCCCCUGGACCUGUACUGACGCUCAUGCACGAAAGCGUGGGGAGCAAACAGGAUUAGAUACCCUGGUAGUCCACGCCCUAAACGAUGUCAACUGGUUGUUGGGUCUUCACUGACUCAGUAACGAAGCUAACGCGUGAAGUUGACCGCCUGGGGAGU
rnacentral:rRNA from 1 species